rnacentral:rRNA from 1 species
UACGAAGGGGGCUAGCGUUGCUCGGAAUCACUGGGCGUAAAGGGUGCGUAGGCGGGUUUUUAAGUCAGAGGUGAAAUCCUGGAGCUCAACUCCAGAACUGCCUUUGAUACUGAAGAUCUUGAGUCCGGGAGAGGUGAGUGGAACUGCGAGUGUAGAGGUGAAAUUCGUAGAUAUUCGCAAGAACACCAGUGGCGAAGGCGGCUCUCUAGUACGGUACUGACGCUGAGACGCGAAAGCGUGGGGAGCAAACAGG